AUUGAACGCUGGCGGCAGGCCUAACACAUGCAAGUCGAGCGAGCGGCGGACGGGUGAGUAAUGUCUGGGAACCUGCCUGAUGGAGGGGGAUAACUACUGGAAACGGUAGCUAAUACCGCAUACCAUCAGAUGUGCCCAUAUGGGCUUAGCUGGUAGGUGGGGUAAUGGCUCACCUAGGCGACGAUCCCUAGCUGGUCUGAGAGGAUGACCAGCAACACUGGAACGGAGACACGGCCCAGACUCCUACGGGAGGCAGCAGUGGGGAAUAUUGCACAAGGGGGGCAAGCCGGAUGCAGCCAUGCCGGGUGUAUGAAGAAGGCCUUCGGGUUGUAAAGCACUUUCAGUGAGGAGGCGUUACUCGCAGAAGAAGCACCGGCUAACUCCGUGCCAGCAGCCGCGGUAAUAC
rnacentral:rRNA from 1 species